rnacentral:misc_RNA from 1 species
GAUGAAGAACGCAGCGAAAUGCGAUAAGUAAUGCGAAUUGCAGAAUUUCCGUGAGUCAUCGAAUCUUUGAACGCACAUUGCGCCCACUGGUAUUCCGGUGGGCAUGCCUGUUCGAGCGUCAUUAUCCUCCCUCAAAACUCCUGUUUUGGUGUUGGGCCGCGUUGGUCACCUCCGACCAACGGGCCUUAAAGACAAUGACGGCGUCCGUGGGACCCUCUUCGCAGUGAGCUUUUGUUAGCGCGCGUUGAGUUUAAAGGACCUUCCGGGCCGGCCACCUUUUAUCUAUUUUACAAGGUUGACCUCGGAUCAGGUAGGAAUACCCGCUGAACUUAAGCAUAUCAAUAAGCGGGGA